AGAAAAGACAUGCAGUGCAGUCGUUUCCAUGGUGACCGCACUGCACAGCAAGUGGGCAGAGACUACCAGACGAGUCCUGAGAAAUGGUGGGGAAAUAAAGAGCUGUGUGUGUGUGCACCUGUGUGCAUGUAUGUGUGUGUGCUUUGUCGGUUUGUGCGUAUUGCAUGCAUAUGUGCAUAUGAUGCGUAAGAUGGCGCUGCAGUGUAUAGCAGUGGAUUUACGGGCUCCUGAUCAAUUAUGCUAUUUUAUGUUUGUUUUUUUACGCUAAUCUUAACUUUUUUUUUGUACAUAAUGUCUCCACGAUAAAUUCCUAUGACUGAAAACUGCUUCUGGACAUCAGAACAGCGAUCACCAACCUCGAUUUGGAUGACAAUUUCUACUUCAACGAGUUGGCAGCUCUGGACUUUCUGCUUAAUCCGCAUUAAGGCCUUGGUCAUCUGGACUCGAAAGAAGAAGUGACAGCGCAAGAGGCUGACGAGACAAGCAGGCAACAUGACGAGACUAUAUUGGUGAGCAAAUAAACCGCCUCUACCCUCCGUUUUAUUGGUGAAUGUACACUGGAGAGCAAACUGGACGAGCUCUGUUCGAGACUAUCCUAUCAACGGACCUGAAGAACUGUAAUAUUGGGUUUUCCAUGCACCGUCAAGACUGGACAGCAGCCUCUGAGCUGUUUACCAAUACAAACCGAUGCUGGCACAUAAGCAAACAAGAAAAUGCACAUCCAGAAGUGACGCUUCUCAUGGCCGGUGAUUUCAAUGCAGGGAAACUGAAGUCUGUUUUACUUCAUUUUUACCAGCAUGUCAACUGUACAACUAGAGGCGACAAAACUCUAGAUCACCUUUACUUCACACAGAGAAACGCAUAUAAAGCUCUCCCUCACCCUCCCUUUGGCAAAUCUAACUCUAUCCUUCUGAUUCCUUUUUACAAGCACAAACUCAACCAGGCAGUACCAGUGACAUGUUGAAUACAGAAGUAGUCAGAUGAAGCAGAUGCUAAACUACAGGACUGUUUCCCAAUACUUAUUUUCCAC
ensembl:lncRNA